rnacentral:rRNA from 1 species
UUCCGUAGGGUGAACCUGCGGAGGGAUCAUUAUCGAGUUUAUCCAACUCCCAACCCUAUGUGAACCUACCUUUAUGUUGCUUCGGCGGUCUCGCGCCUGGUUGCUCCCUUGGGGGCUCCCGGGACCACGCGUCCGCCGGAGACCAAAAACUCUUGAUUUUGCGAAAGCAGUAUUAUUCUGAGUGGCCGAAAGGCAAAAAACAAAUGAAUCAAAACUUUCAACAACGGAUCUCUUGGUUCUGGCAUCGAUGAAGAACGCAGCGAAAUGCGAUAAGUAAUGUGAAUUGCAGAAUUCAGUGAAUCAUCGAAUCUUUGAACGCACAUUGCGCCCGCCAGCAUUCUGGCGGGCAUGCCUGUUCGAGCGUCAUUUCAACCCUCGAGCUCGUCUUCAUUGACGAGAUCGGUGUUGGGACCCGGCGAGCGGGGACUCUUGUCCCCUGCCGGCCCCGAAAUUCAGUGGCGGCCCGUUGCGGCGACCUCUGCGUAGUAACUUAACCUCGCACCGGUAACAGCAUCGUGGCCACGCCGUAAAACCCCCGACUUUUUUAAGGUUGACCUCGAAUCAGGUAGGACUACCCGCUGAACUUAAGCAUAUCAAUAAGCGGAGG